GCUUACGCGGCUACCAUGCAAGUCGAGCGGAACGAGUUAUCUGAACCUUCGGGGGACGAUAACGGCGUCGAGCGGCGGACGGGUGAGUAAUGCCUAGGAAAUUGCCCUGAUGUGGGGGAUAACCAUUGGAAACGAUGGCUAAUACCGCAUAAUGCCUACGGGCCAAAGAGGGGGACCUUCGGGCCUCUCGCGUCAGGAUAUGCCUAGGUGGGAUUAGCUAGUUGGUGAGGUAAUGGCUCACCAAGGCGACGAUCCCUAGCUGGUCUGAGAGGAUGAUCAGCCACACUGGAACUGAGACACGGUCCAGACUCCUACGGGAGGCAGCAGUGGGGAAUAUUGCACAAUGGGCGCAAGCCUGAUGCAGCCAUGCCGCGUGUGUGAAGAAGGCCUUCGGGUUGUAAAGCACUUUCAGUCGUGAGGAAGGUAGUGUAGUUAAUAGCUGCAUUAUUUGACGUUAGCGACAGAAGAAGCACCGGCUAACUCCGUGCCAGCAGCCGCGGUAAUACGGAGGGUGCGAGCGUUAAUCGGAAUUACUGGGCGUAAAGCGCAUGCAGGUGGUUUGUUAAGUCAGAUGUGAAAGCCCGGGGCUCAACCUCGGAAUAGCAUUUGAAACUGGCAGACUAGAGUACUGUAGAGGGGGGUAGAAUUUCAGGUGUAGCGGUGAAAUGCGUAGAGAUCUGAAGGAAUACCGGUGGCGAAGGCGGCCCCCUGGACAGAUACUGACACUCAGAUGCGAAAGCGUGGGGAGCAAACAGGAUUAGAUACCCUGGUAGUCCACGCCGUAAACGAUGUCUACUUGGAGGUUGUGGCCUUGAGCCGUGGCUUUCGGAGCUAACGCGUUAAGUAGACCGCCUGGGGAGUACGGUCGCAAGAUUAAAACUCAAAUGAAUUGACGGGGGCCCGCACAAGCGGUGGAGCAUGUGGUUUAAUUCGAUGCAACGCGAAGAACCUUACCUACUCUUGACAUCCAGAGAACUUUCCAGAGAUGGAUUGGUGCCUUCGGGAACUCUGAGACAGGUGCUGCAUGGCUGUCGUCAGCUCGUGUUGUGAAA
rnacentral:rRNA from 1 species